rnacentral:snRNA from 1 species
GGAUGUGAGGACUAUUUACCUGCGACAUCCCGACACCCCCAUUGAUUACCAGUCUUGAUCUAGCUGCUGAGGUGGCUGGUUAGGCAGGUGGCUCCUUCCUUUCUACUUUAUAUUUGUCCCUCCCAAUGCCACACUGUCCCAGAAGUUGAUGCUCCCUGGUAGAAGAAGCUGUUCUUCAGCCAGACUGUGCGGAUAGCUGUACUCUCCUGCUAGAACAUCCAAGCAAGCCCCAGGGGUCCAUUUGUGAGGGAAAUUAGGGGAGCCAAGUUUCCAGGGAUUAAAAG